rnacentral:tRNA from 1 species
GGGCACGUAGUCUAGCAUGGAUAGGGCACUGGCUUCCGGAGCCAGAUGUCGCAAGUUCAAAUCUUGCCGUGCCCG